AGAGUUUGAUCCUGGCUCAGGAUGAACGCUAGCGACAGGCUUAACACAUGCAAGUCGAGGGGCAGCGGGGUGUAGCAAUACACCGCCGGCGACCGGCGCACGGGUGAGUAACGCGUAUGCAACUUGCCUAUCAGAGGGGGAUAACCCGGCGAAAGUCGGACUAAUACCGCAUGAAGCAGGGAUCCCGCAUGGGAAUAUUUGCUAAAGAUUCAUCGCUGAUAGAUAGGCAUGCGUUCCAUUAGGCAGUUGGCGGGGUAACGGCCCACCAAACCGACGAUGGAUAGGGGUUCUGAGAGGAAGGUCCCCCACAUUGGUACUGAGACACGGACCAAACUCCUACGGGAGGCAGCAGUGAGGAAUAUUGGUCAAUGGGCGUAAGCCUGAACCAGCCAAGUCGCGUGAGGGAUGAAGGUUCUAUGGAUCGUAAACCUCUUUUAUAAGGGAAUAAAGUGCGGGACGUGUCCCGUUUUGUAUGUACCUUAUGAAUAAGGAUCGGCUAACUCCGUGCCAGCAGCCGCGGUAAUACGGAGGAUCCGAGCGUUAUCCGGAUUUAUUGGGUUUAAAGGGUGCGUAGGCGGCCUUUUAAGUCAGCGGUGAAAGUCUGUGGCUCAACCAUAGAAUUGCCGUUGAAACUGGGGGGCUUGAGUAUGUUUGAGGCAGGCGGAAUGCGUGGUGUAGCGGUGAAAUGCAUAGAUAUCACGCAGAACCCCGAUUGCGAAGGCAGCCUGCCAAGCCAUUACUGACGCUGAUGCACGAAAGCGUGGGGAUCAAACAGGAUUAGAUACCCUGGUAGUCCACGCAGUAAACGAUGAUCACUAGCUGUUUGCGAUACACUGUAAGCGGCACAGCGAAAGCGUUAAGUGAUCCACCUGGGGAGUACGCCGGCAACGGUGAAACUCAAAGGAAUUGACGGGGGCCCGCACAAGCGGAGGAACAUGUGGUUUAAUUCGAUGAUACGCGAGGAACCUUACCCGGGUUUGAACGCAUUCGGACCGAGGUGGAAACACCUUUUCUAGCAAUAGCCGUUUGCGAGGUGCUGCAUGGUUGUCGUCAGCUCGUGCCGUGAGGUGUCGGCUUAAGUGCCAUAACGAGCGCAACCCUUGCCACUAGUUACUAACAGGUUAGGCUGAGGACUCUGGUGGGACUGCCAGCGUAAGCUGCGAGGAAGGCGGGGAUGACGUCAAAUCAGCACGGCCCUUACAUCCGGGGCGACACACGUGUUACAAUGGCGUGGACAAAGGGAGGCCACCUGGCGACAGGGAGCGAAUCCCCAAACCACGUCUCAGUUCGGAUCGGAGUCUGCAACCCGACUCCGUGAAGCUGGAUUCGCUAGUAAUCGCGCAUCAGCCAUGGCGCGGUGAAUACGUUCCCGGGCCUUGUACACACCGCCCGUCAAGCCAUGGGAGCCGGGGGUACCUGAAGUCCGUAACCGCGAGGAUCGGCCUAGGGUAAAACUGGUGACUGGGGCUAAGUCGUAACAAG
rnacentral:rRNA from 2 species